ACAGGAGGUCAGGAAGAGUUGAGUCGCGCGCAACCCUCCUCCUCCUCCUCCUCCUCCUCCUCCUCCUCCUCCUCCUCCUCCUCCUCCUCCACUACUACCACCUCCUCCUCCUCCUCCUCCUCCUCCUCCUCCUCCUCCUCCUCCUCCUCCUCCUCCUCCUCCCUCACUCUCACUUACUCCACUCACUCGCUCGCUCGCUGGCGCUUCCUUGCUCGCUCUCACCGGCUCCUAGUGACGGAGAAAGAAAAGAAAGAAAACGAAAAAAAAGUAAAUUGUAAGAGAUAAGAGGACAUAGACAAAUUGGAAGGCGUAGGUAGAUGAGAUAAUAAAUAAACAGAAAAGUCAAAGAAAAGAUCAACAAAGUGGAAGACACAGAAAGAACAAAAGAUCUUAAACAAAACAGCAAAGACGUAAGAAAUAUAAAUACAUUGGAGGACAUAGGUAAUAAGGUAAUAAACAAACUGCAAGACACAAGAAGAAAAGGUAAAAGAAACAGGAAAGACACAGAAAAUAUAAAAUAUAUCGCAAAAAAAAAAAAAAAAAAAAAAAAACACAAAGAAAUAUUAACCCGCAGAAAACGUAAACAGACAAAAAUAAACAAAACUACACAUUAAAAAAAUAAAUAAAUAAAUAAACUGUAAAUAAAAUAGAAAAAAAAUUAACUACUUACCAAGAAUAUAAGGAAAUACCACCAACACCACCACCACCACCAUCAUCAUCAUCAGUUAAGUCGCGGUGAAACAAACAAAAGAGGUUCCCGUUACCGUCCUGCGGCACACCACCACCACCGCCACCGCCACCACCACCGCUGCCACAACCCAGCGCAAAGGAACACAAAGGAAGAACGAGAAACAUCACCUGACUUGUUGGCUUCCCCUUAAGAGACAAUACAGUGUUGUAAUACGAGAGGCUUUGAGAGAGAGAUAGAGAGAGAGGAGGACAGUCUUAAUCUUUGCUUUAGAGAAUAUUAUCUUGAUUCCUGUCUGUUUUUCUGUCUCUAUCUUUGUCUAUUCCCUUUCUCCCUCUCUUUGGUGAUCUAAGUUCUUAAUUUUCUCUUUUUUCAAUCCUCCUCCUCCUCUUCUUUCUCCUUCCUCUUUCUCCUCUCUCUUUCUCUUUCUCUUCCUCUUCAUCCUUUUCGUUCACGUUCUCUUCUUAUUCUAUUUCUUCUGGUUCCUGUAUUUUCUUGCUCUUUAUUCCUCCUGCUCCUCCUCCUCUUCAAAGUAUCUCUUCCUCUCCAUCUUCCAGCCUUUCAGCGAGGCAAAGAAACUCUCUCUCUCUCUCUCUCUCUCUCUCUCUCUCUCUCUCUCUCUCUCUCUCUCUCUCUCUCUCUCUCUCUCUCUCUCUCUCUCU